UACGUAGGUGGCAAGCGUUGUCCGGAAUUAUUGGGCGUAAAGCGCGCGCAGGUGGUUUCUUAAGUCUGUUGUGAAAUCCCCGAGCUCAACUUGGGAAUUGCAAUGGAUACUGGCAGGCUGGAGUAUGGUAGAGGAAGGUGGAAUUCCCGGUGUAGCAGUGAAAUGCGUAGAGAUCGGGAGGAACACCAGUGGCGAAGGCGGCCUUCUGGACCAAUACUGACGCUCAUGCACGAAAGCGUGGGGAGCAAAUGGG
rnacentral:rRNA from 1 species